UGAUCUGUGUGUCUAGGGACUGACUAGAGAU
rnacentral:piRNA from 1 species